GUGCUCAACGAGGUAGCACAUUUUCCAAAUCUGGAAUAAAACAGAGAUUAGUAUGAACCAGGCACAAGGAUGGUAUGCAAAUUUAUAAAGUGUUUCAAAUUAAA